rnacentral:rRNA from 1 species
UACGAAGGGGGCUAGCGUUGAUCGGAUUUACUGGGCGUAAAGCGCACGUAGGCGGAUCGUUAAGUCGGGGGUGAAAUCCUGGAGCUCAACUCCAGAACUGCCUUCGAUACUGGCGAUCUUGAGUCCGGAAGAGGUGAGUGGAACUCCUAGUGUAGAGGUGGAAUUCGUAGAUAUUAGGAAGAACACCAGUGGCGAAGGCGGCUCACUGGUCCGGUACUGACGCUGAGGUGCGAAAGCGUGGGGAGCAAACAGG